CAACAAGUGCUUAACAUGAGGCGAAACACAAGUCGAGACACAUGGAAACACGGGGAGACUUCAAUGUGCAGUAAAUGGAUUUAAAAUAGAUCACACUGAUGCUGUUAAUCCUUCAAGCCCCAAAACAUUCCCAUGGCUUUGGUCUUGCUCAUCAGUCUGAUGUCAUCCACCCGUGGAUUGAAUUUAACUACCCCCUCUUCUGAAUACCAAGUAGCACUAGGAGAAGACAUCAGCCUCGGAUGCCAUUUCACCCUUGAUCCUGUGGAUUUUGGUUCCUUGGAGAUUGAGUGGACGGUCGACCGUUCACAUGGUCGAGUGGAAAAGGAACACCUCAUCUGUUACAUUGAUGAUGUAGUGCACCACUUCUUAGGUUUUGAAGGCAGAUUCUACUUUUCCUAUCCAGAUCCCCAAGAUGGAGAUGCUUCACUAACCAUUACAUGUAUUAAAAUCAUUGACAGUGGUAUUUGCCAUUGUAAAGUAACAAAGGGUAAGGAAAUCCAAAGCAGGCAGAUUAAGCUGAUGGUAAUGGAGGAGGUGUCUGUGCCAGUUCAUGGUUCCAAUGGUGGCACAAUGUGGACUUAAAGCUGAGGAACAGGUCUUCAUUAGUCACCACCUUCCCUGCAAACUGCAGUUUGUGGACAUCUACCGAAACUUCUGCAAGCACUCAAGAAGACAGGAACUAUCACAGGAACCUACCGAGAUUUUGGAAAGGUACAUGACAUUGCUGAAACCCCCACGGUUGAUUUAAGCCUCACCACGGAAUCGCAAAACACUUCAUCACAGGAUAGGGGAGUAUCGAUCGGAGUGGCUGCUACCAUUACUUUCAUUGUCAUAAUUUCAGCAGGCACAAUUUUCUCCUGCCGGAAACAAAAAAGACAGCAGAAGUCUGAAGAAAAUGUCUCAGCUGAUGAAGCAAAGUGUGCCCGUACACAGCCAGAAAGGACCGCGAUUGUAGACAUUGUGGAGAAGACCUGGAAUUUGUGGGAGAAAAUGGGCAUGGAACUUGAAGACAUACCCAAAAACCGUAUGGACAUUAAGGGGGAAGAUUCCACAGAAGAGGUACCUUAAACACAGAAUGUUGAUUUUGAGGAUGUACAGGUUAUGAGAGCAUUACCUCCAGAGGUGACCAGCUUGUGAGCUUUAAUUCAGCCCAAAGUAAGGCAUCUGUUAGACUGAGAAAGAUUUUACCCUAAAGGGUCUUGUACAGACAAGUUUGGUCUCAUCACAGUUGUAUACUGAGAAAAUGGAUGGGCCCUUCUGAGCCACAGGACCACUUGGGGCCAUCACUGAAUUGAAAAUGGUUGUAAUGUUAAUAGAAGAAUGUAUUACAUUACAUUCUGACAUAAUG